GGGGUCGACUGGUUUUGACAGGAAGUGCAAUUACUAUGUAAGCAUGUCGAGCUUUGGUUUCUAUGCUCGCUAAUUCAGGAUACCACUUUUUUAAACGGAGAAAAUAACUUCGCGUUAGCUGCGUAAUUGAGUCUAAGACCAUUAUGCUUAAUCCUGACCAAGGUGUCAGGACUGACCGUCUCGGGUGAUCGUUUGUUCGAUACCUUCACUAAUCGGGGCGUUGUCGAAUUCGAACUAGAUGUGACGGUGUCUGGACGUUGCGUUGAAAUUAAACAGAAUACGCUUUAAUUCGGGUGUUUAUGCCCAGGUUACUGCCGACAAUUAAUCGUAAACUAAACAUGUAGAAAGCAUUUUGGUUCCUUUUUUGGACGCGGGUUCGAUUCCCGCCGACUCCACCA
rnacentral:tmRNA from 1 species